rnacentral:snRNA from 1 species
ACCUAGUACGAGAGGAACCG